GUGUCAGCAGCCGCGGUAAUACGGAGGGUGCAAGCGUUAUCCGGAUUCACUGGGUUUAAAGGGUGCGUAGGUGGGCAGGUAAGUCAGUGGUGAAAUCCCCGAGCUUAACUUGGGAACUGCCGUUGAUACUAUCUGUCUUGAAUAUCGUGGAGGUUAGCGGAAUAUGUCAUGUAGCGGUGAAAUGCAUAGAGAUGACAUAGAACACCAAUUGCGAAGGCAGCUGGCUACACGGUAAUUGACACUGAGGCACGAAAGCGUGGGGAGCAAACAGGAUUAGAAACCCCUGUAGUCC
rnacentral:rRNA from 1 species